ACACGGGGGGCGCAAGCGUUAUUCGGAAUUAUUGGGCGUAAAGGGCGUGUAGGCGGUUUUAUCGGUCAGAUGUGAAAGUCCAGGGCUCAACCCUGGACGUGCAUUUGAAACAGUAAGACUUGAGUACGGUAGAGGAAAGCGGAAUUCCUGGUGUAGAGGUGAAAUUCGUAGAUAUCAGGAGGAACACCGAUGGCGAAGGCAGCUUUCUGGACCGAAACUGACGCUGAUGCGCGAGGGCGUGGGUAGCGAACAGGAUUAGAAACCCUAGUAGUCC
rnacentral:rRNA from 1 species